UCAGGAGUCUGGACUUCAUAACUCUUUCAACAGUGAGAGAGAGGGAGAGAGAGAGAGAGAGUUCCAGCAAUGGCUUGCUUGAGCAAUUUCCCGGUUCUUCCAAAGCCAACGCCCCAGCAUUCUUCUUCUUAUUCAGCUCUCUCUCCCUGUAAUAAACCCGCCAUUACUUUCUUAUCUUCGCCGCACAUUUCUAGGGUUUCUCCCCAUCAAGAUGGAACCCUAAAACGUGGGAACCGUUCUGCACACAUCGACUUGCAAUGGAAACCAUCACGGGCUUCUCGAAUCUCCCCUAUAACAGCAGCUGUGAAGCCGGAUCCUCUGAAGAUUAUGAUAUCGGGGGCUCCUGCAUCUGGAAAAGGAACACAAUGCGAGUUUAUAAAAAAGAAAUAUGGGCUGGUCCAUAUUGCUGCUGGAGAUCUGCUACGGGUGGAGAUUGCAGCUGGGAGUGCGAAUGGAAAACGAGCCAAAGAAUACAUGGAGAAAGGACAACUAGUUCCAGAUGAAAUAGUUGUCACGAUGGUGAAGGAGCGUCUGUUCCAGCAGGAUGCGCAAGAAAAUGGUUGGCUUUUGGAUGGAUACCCCAGGAGCCUAUCCCAAGCCACAGCUCUUGAAAAUCUUUUGAUACGUCCUGACAUUUUUCUUUUCCUUGAUGUCCCUGAAGAGAUUCUUGUUGAGAGAGUUGUUGGUAGAAGGCUAGAUCCUGUUACUGGAAAGAUAUACCACCUGAAGUAUUCUCCUCCAGAAACAAAAGAAAUUGCUGACAGGCUUACCCGGCGCUUUGAUGAUACUGAAGAAAAGGUGAAAUUACGGCUGCAAACUUAUCAUCAGAGCUUUGGAGCCGUACUGCAAUUAUACAAAGAAGUUACAGUAAAGGCAUGUGAACUCUCUUGGACUUCUGCUGCCUCCUCUAAUUAUGCUCAAUUUGUUUUGAAUUCUUGAUGCCUCCUAUCAUUCUUCAAUUGAAAAUGUUCCUGUGCUUCCUCUAGAAAUGUUAUUGAAGCCAGAUAGCCAUAGCUAGAUGAUGUUGCUGAGAGGAAUUAUGGGGUGUGCUGAACUCAGCAAACAUAUGGUUUGCUGAUCCAUACCAUUGAUCUGAUGGACACCGGUGUGGAUAUUGGUGCCCAAGAAUCACCCUUGCAUGGAAGAUCAAAGGCCAAGGUCUUUCAGUGUCGGAGAUUUUUGGGACAUCCCCCAAUCUUAAGGCAGGGCUAUCUGAUUAAUAGUCUGGAUCAUCAAACCAUGCAGCACUUGUAUAAAAUAGUGGCAGUUUUCUGUAGUUGAACAGCCUCUAAUUUCUCGGGACAUCCCCCAAUUUUAAGGCAUGGCACAGAUCAAAGGCUCAAGUUCUUUCAGUGUCUUAGAUUUUCGGGACAUCCCCCAAUCUUAAGGCGGGGCUAUCAGAUUAAUAAUCUGGAUCAUCAAACCAUCAACAGGUGUAUAAAAUAGUGGCUGUUUGCUGUAGCUCAACAGCCUCUAAUUUCUCGUGAUCAAUCACUUCACAAAGUUUUCACAUGGAUGCACUUCAUGUGAUUCAAUCAAGCCAUUUGCUUGUUGUUUGCUUCCAUUUCGCAAAUAUCUUGAUCUAGUUUUUAUUUAUUUAAAACCCAGGAUUGAGGAGUACUAAUCUACCACUAGGUGUUUCCCAAACUUGUGGGGAGAGCAGAGAGGGAAUCAUGAAAGGAACAAAUCUCAAAAUAUCAAUAACUGAAAUUAGACUAUGAAACAACAGAUUUGAUUACAAAAAUGUCCAAAAUCACAGUUUUCUUUAAUUGUCAUGAUAAUGGACACAUUCAAAUGGCUGAUUAAAAAGAAAAUUGAAAAAGAUGCAUUCACGCUCAUAUUGCACAAGUGGAGCCCAUGGCUUAGUGAGCCUCCUAUUUCCUGCAAGUGCAACUGCUUCUUUAUCUUUUUCUGCAAUGCCCAAUGGCUUCCUUAGCUCUUCUUGUUCAAAAAAAGAAAAAAAAGAA